CCUACGGGAGGCAGCAGUAGGGAAUAUUGCUCAAUGGGGGAAACCCUGAAGCAGCAACGCCGCGUGGAGGAUGAAGGUUUUCGGAUUGUAAACUCCUUUUGUGAGAGAAGAAAAUGACGGUAUCUAACGAAUAAGCACCGGCUAACUCCGUGCCAGCAGCCGCGGUAAUACGGAGGGUGCAAGCGUUACUCGGAAUCACUGGGCGGAAAGAGCGCGUAGGCGGGAUAGCAAGUCAGAUGUGAAAUCCUAUGGCUUAACCAUAGAACUGCAUUUGAAACUGUUAUUCUAGAGUAUGGGAGAGGUAGGUGGAAUUCUUGGUGUAGGGGUGAAAUCCGUAGAGAUCAAGAGGAAUACUCAUUGCGAAGGCGACCUGCUAGAACAUAACUGACGCUGAUGCGCGAAAGCGUGGGGAGCAAACAGGAUUAGAUACCCCAGUAGUC
rnacentral:rRNA from 1 species